UCAAGUGUUUUCUCCGAUUCGAGGCGAUGUUCGACUCUGAAUUCCCGCCGCCGUUGCCGGUUCAGUUCACAGUAUCUCGAUUCGUUUAGUUUUACAAUCUGGAGUCCAAGUUUGAGUUGAACCAUUCAUCAUAGAAGACUUUCCGCAGGUUUCUAUGGAUUCCGAAUCUCCUGGCAGAUCCUAAUAUUCGGCGAACUCAACUGGAGAUCAGGUACACGUUUUAAUAGCUAAUUUUGACUGGAUCAAGUUGAUCCAGGUUGGACUUACGCUCGCUGAUUAGGAAGGUAAUCUUCCGGAUUUGGGCACGGACAAGUUCUACAGGUGGGAGUUUAAUUUUAGGGAUUUACUAAAUUAUGUGAGGGUGUUCUUGGUGCCUAUGGUUUCUCGAUGAGAUUCUUCCCCGAUUAGCACGGCGGCGUUAACAGGGAAGUGUACUUGAACAAUACUAAUCUUGAUAAGUAUGCUGCUGGUAUUUUGUAUUGUUUAGAGCAUUUGUCUACAGCUAGAAAUUUUUCAUUUUAACAGUACAUAUCUUCCUGAGCGAUGACUUGUACGCAUCAUUCCUAUCAAUUCCAUUUUAGUUAUGAACUCACGAUUGUCUUCCUGAGCGACAAUUUGCAUUCAGUUGGCUGAUAUUUAUUUUUUUCAACCACCCAGUUGCUCCUAAAUCUGUCGAAAUAUAAAUGUUUGAAGGGUAUUGAUCAUUGAUAGGGUAAUGGAGGUUGUGAGAUUGUAGGUAAUAUCGAGGCAUUGGAUUUAAUGUGGCCUAGCUAGGGCAUUGGAGUUAUACCCUGGUCUUAACGGUUGCAAUUUUUUUUCUCUUUUGAGUUAGAAGAUGAUAUUUGGGGUGAUUAAGACGAGGAAAACAUUUGGGGCGUUGGAUUACAGCACCCUAAAUUCUGAAAGCUGACCUAAUGCAUCACAAGGCUGGUGGCCAAGUAUAGUGAUAGGCCUCCAAUCACAAAAGUUUACAAGUGUAGGCAUGUGAAGGGGCGGGCGUGAAGGCUAGUUUGCUUUGUAGAGCGGGGCCUGUAAUUUUCUUUUGGUAGUUAGAAUGAGGGUUACGUAAGGGAGGGCUAUUAUAGAGGGAGCGUUUGUGAGAGGAGGGUAUCUUUUUUCUGCAUUUUUCGGCUUGAACAUUCUCUUUAGUGAAUCUGGGAGAGGUGGGAAACUCCCAAAUCUCUCCUUUGUUCCUUGUUGAUAAUUAAAUUGUUGGCUUAGGCCUAACAUUUAGGUCUAUGCAUUUGUCAACUUUCGUUCUUGAAGUAAACUCCUGAUUUUUUGCUUGAUAUUUUGGUUUGCUAUUAACUAUUAGCUCUUCUAGUAUCCUUAGUCAUUCGUUCCUAAAUUGUAUUAUUAGGUCAAAUCUCUCCUUUGUUCCUUGUUGAUAAUUAAAUUGUUUGGAGAAAGUUAGAAUUCAUCCCAAACCAUAGGGACCAAAUUUGUACUUUAACCUUUAAAGAAUUUGGUUUUAGAUGAAAUUUGUAGCUGUUGGGGUAUAAAAAUUGGAUCUGGUGCACUGCUAGUAGGAAAAAGGAGAAUAAAACAGGGGAGUUUUGUAUAGUAUGUUUGUUACAAUCCCUUAGUAUGUUCUUAAUGUUUCUAGCAUCUUUUACAUUGAAGAUUUAAAUUGUACCCCAUAGAGACUAAUGUAACCUUUGGCAUAAAGUAUCUGCAAUCAGACAUGGUGACAAUUCUUUUGGAUUAUUACUGCAACAACCUUCUCAGAACACUAGGACCUCCUGAUUUUGUAUCACUAAAUCUAAUUGUUUGUUUUAUCCAUUCUAGCCUAUCCUCUGAAAUCUGGAAAUGAUACGAGGGUUAAACUUCAAGGUCCCUUGAUGAUGCUCCUUUGAAUUUCAAGUCUGCAUAUCCUUGCCAUCAACUCUUUUUUUCCUUGAGUCGAACAAAUGAAGGGGUUUAAGCCUUCAACUCCAAGAGAAGAAGUAAAUGCCUUUUAACAUUUUCAUCAGCAAUAUUUUAAAAAUUGUGAUGUUGAGAUUUGAGAAUGACCGUUGGAAUCUCCGUUCUAGAAGUGACAAUAGAUGGAGGUUGAGGCUUAUGGCUUGUAUGCCUAACCCCGUUGGAAGGAGAUCUUGAUGCAAACUUUAGUUUGAAAAUGUUGGUCAUGGAUGGCAUCCAAUGCUUAGAAGAAUCCUCAGUGACAGGAAACUUUGGCAUCAGCUUCUUGUAGACUUGUGAUAGAACCCAAAUGUAUUGAUAGGAUUGCUGUUAGGGUAGGAUUACAAACAUGGCUAGGGAAUUGAAGGUAUAUUAGUAAUUAGCUAAGGAAGUUGUUAGGGUGGUUUGUUAUAAAUAGGGUGCGGGGAAAGGGUAGACAAUUGUUUAGUUGGUCGAGGACUUGAGUGAUCUCAAGAACGAGAGGGUCCAAGUACCUCGAAUGCUUGGAGGGUUAUAUUGUAUUUCCAUUAUAUUUUAUAUUUCAAAACAUUUAGGUUCUAUCAACUUUCUAGAAUUCUUGUUACCAAAAUAAAUGAUUGGAGAAUAUCAUUAGUGAAGUAAUUAAUAUUGCAUCUCUACGUGGGCGCAUCCGACAGUUUAAUUUUUUCUCCCUAAAUUCCUCGUUUUCUCUCUCAACAUUUAUUGGGCUAUUUUGUUUGCAAUUUUUAUGAGGCAGAUAUGGAUAAGUAUCAUUGUAUAUGCAUUUCAAAACAGCAAGCAUAGGAACUUACUGCUGGAAAUGAUCUGUAAAUUGAUUCUACUUUGAAAUACUGGCAACUCUGAAGUCCUUUGAGUUGAGUUCAUACAACUGUGAUUUGGGUUCGAAUUUACAAACUAGUUUUUGUGGAUCUCUGUAGGCUUAGCUUUCUGGUUAUGAAAGUCUACCUAAGGAUGUUGAAUGUGCCUUUUGAGGUUGACAGAUCGUUUCUGAUUUUUCAGCAUCCUUCUGGGCAGCAGAGUCAUUAUGGUUUUUUGGGCUAAAGAAGUGAUAGGCCCCAAAUUACUAGGGUGUAUGAUCGUAAGCGUUGUGAGGAAGGAGGGAACUGUAUGAGGGGUUGUUUUCAUGUAGGUGUGGAGCCCAAAGAGUUUAUUAGUGCGUGUUGAGGCCUUGAGGGAGAAUGGAAAUUAAUAGGCGAGAUUUUGGUUAAUUGCCGAAUCACAUCUUCCUCACCUCUAUUUUUCUUAAAAGAAACAGUUUUGGUUAAAAUACCAUUUUGUACCUUGGGUUUUAUUCCAUUUUAGCUUCUUUACUUUUAACUGACCAAAUUUAGCAUAUGUACUUUUGAUAAAUCCUAAACUAGUUCAUGCUAUUAGUUUGGUCAACUUUCUUUUAUAAGAAAAACAGUCUCAUUUGGCUUUCUAUCUAUAAAUUUUGUAAACAUAUUCACAUUGUGUUUCUCUGGCAUGAAAGUUAUUAUUAUUAUUAUUAUUUAACCAAUUUCAAUAAAAAUUAUCUUCAUGUAUUUAAUUGUUGGAGCUUCUUGUUCAAUCGCUCUGGUUGUUCAACCUAUGCCUAGAGGAUGGCCUUCUGUAUCGAAGCAUCCGUCUUAAUUAAUGCCAGUUGGAGAAAUUUUUGGUGUCCUACUAAGUAUAUUCCCUUGUGCUGGUAUUUAUGCCUCGAGUUCUUUUAUUCCUCUCUUCUUGUAAUUAUAGUAGAGUUAUGUUCCAACGAAAGAAAAGAAUGAUUGUGAUUUUUCAUCUCAUGUUCCAGAUGAGUAUAGUCCGGUUGUUCUCUGAUUAUUAUUUGGAUUGUGGAUGGUAAAUUUUCUAUGUUACUGCUAGUUUAUGAUCGAUCGGGCUUCAGUUUAAUUGUGUUUUAUGACUUUGACUCUUUUGUGCCAGUUCUCAGCUUCUUGUACGUAGAUGAUAUCAAUGAAUGAAGGUGUUAUUUUCUACGGCAUUUCGUCAUCACGCUUGUUAUUUCACAGGUUCCUUCCUCUGUCUCUUUUCUCCUAUAUUUGAUAGUAAGGAUAAUUGGUUUUUCAAUUUUUUGCUAUACGUAGCAUAAUAGUAAUUGAUAUGUACAUUUAUACCACAAUACGUAGCAUAAGUAGCAUAAUAGCAAUUGAUAAUAAUUAGAUAAAUACGUUGCACUGUUACUUUUAUACCACAAUAAUUCAAGGUACAGUGUUACUAAUUA